AUGAACGCUGGCGGCGUGCCUAAUACAUGCCAGUCGCGCGUACAGACGAGGAGCUUGCUCCUCUGACGUUAGCGGCGGACGGGUGAGUAACACGUGGAUAACCUACCUAUAAGACUGGGAUAACUUCGGGAAACCGGAGCUAAUACCGGAUAAUAUAUUGAACCGCCUGGUUCAAUAGUGAAAGACGGUUUUGCUGUCACUUAUAUAUGGAUCCGCGCCGCAUUAGCUAGUUGGUAAGGUAACGGCUUACCAAGGCAACGAUGCGUAGCCGACCUGAGAGGGUGAUCGGCCACACUGGAACUGAGACACGGUCCAGACUCCUACGGGAGGCAGCAGUAGGGAAUCUUCCGCAAUGGGCGAAAGCCUGACGGAGCAACGCCGCGUGAGUGAUGAAGGUCUUCGGAUCGUAAAACUCUGUUAUUAGGGAAGAACAAAUGUGUAAGUAACUAUGCACGUCUUGACGGUACCUAAUCAGAAAGCCACGGCUAACUACGUG
rnacentral:rRNA from 1 species